ACAUUCAGAUCUAUGACUGAUUUUAUCAGUACGGAAAACAUUAAAACGAGUCAGUCUUGAAGAAACCGCUGAGUUGAAAAGUUGUCACACAAAUUAUUUCCAAUCUAUUUGAAAAUGAAAAAAAAAACUAAAAAAAUGUUAGAGUGAAUAAGUAAACUUAUAAAGUGGCAAAAAUCAUCAAGUGAUCGACAAAGAAAUUUGAUAAAGUGUUGGAAAUCGUUAGAUUGGGUAAGUAAAAAAAUAUUUGCCAGAAAAGUAUUAAUCAUAUUCGGUAAAUUAAAUUAAAUUUAUUUCUUCUUUUAAGCUAAAAUGGAAUGUCAAACUUUUUAUUAUUUUAUUUAAAUUUAAAAUUCGUCAUAAGAAUUUUUUAUUAUUUAAUACUUUACUAACGAUUUGUAAUUUUCAAUAUUUUUCAAGUUCAAUCGAUCAUCCUGAUUGCAAGUCAUUGUUGAUUGGAAACGUCCGUGAGCAGAAGCUGGAAAAUUAUCCCCAUCUGUUUUAUCGAACUACUUUUCUUCAAAAAUUCCAUCUAGGAGAGACCUAAAUAGUAUCAAGGACAAUCAUUGUCUUUUCCAUGGAAUUGGAAAAGUGAUUCGCAAAUAGCAGCAGAACUCAGAGCAAACAGUAAAGGCCGUAAAUCUGCAAAACACAACUUAGAAAAGUGAGCGCUGUAAUAAAAGUAGACGAGGAGCACUACCACUGAUCAAAUUUCAUUAUGUCAUCGUUUAUCUUUACGGGGCAAAACACAAUCAGUCUUUUGAAAUAUCUUAUUUCUUCUGAAACUGGUAAACACAAUUGGGAGAAAGCAGAAGAACAUACAUCCAAAAGCUGAGAAGAAGACUUCACGAAACUACUAGAAAGUCGUGCAACACCCCAUAGAAAUUAAUGUAAUACAAUUUUAUUGUGAAUACACAUUAUUUAUGUCAAAUAAAUUUAUUUUUGAAAUCAUA